CUACAAUAACACAUAACACAUCCCCUACACACUCCACUCCCUGUGAGCGAACUCAUGGGUGGGUGGAACUUAUGAGUGGGCCUUAUGGGCAUACUCACCGUCAGGCCCUGGGACCCAGACCUUGAGCUGGGUAAGGGGCCCCAAAAAAAUUGAGCUGCUUCCAAUUCUCCCAGAACAUUGAAUUUUGUGACCACAGUUGCAAACAGCCUCCAG
rnacentral:lncRNA from 1 species